CGGCCUAGGUGCUAGGCGGCCGCCUAGGCGGGCCCUUCUAAAAAAAAUAAAAAAUAAAAAAUAAAAAAUUUCCGUCCAUAUCGUUGGAAACUUAAACUUGUCCGACUCCCACCGAACUAGUCGUUGGUUUGUCGACGGCAUCAAACAGUCGAACGACGGUGUUUUGAUGCGUCUUCUAACCCAAACCCAAAAUGAAUUCGUCGUCGUCAUCAAUCACAUAGAUAAAAGUCACAACUUUCUUUCCCUUUCCGGCUUUCCUUCCCUUCUUCUGGAUGCAUCAAACCCAUCGAAUUAUGAAUUUUUUGAAGUACGAAAGCAUAAGAUCCGAAGGGGAAAAAUAAAUAUGCAAAUAAGAGAAAUUCGUUUUAUUCUUUAUUUUUUUAUAUAAAGCUUUUGGCUUGGAUUUGAUUUGAUUGAUUCGGUGAAGCAAAGCAAAAAGAUAUUGGAGAAGAUUGGGUUGCGUGCAAAGCCAUCCUUGAGAGGGAAUACUUGGGUGGUUGACGCAAUGUACUUCUCAGUUCACCUUCAUCAAUCGCCAGGUUCAUUUUUUCUCCUUCCCUCCAUCUCCGAUCCAAUGACCCAUCUAUGAGUUCUUGACAAGUUCUUUUGUUUCUUCAUUACCCAUGCCUCAAAAUCUCUGCUUUUUUAAUUUUAUAUGUGAACUCAACCGUGAUUUCAAUACUGCGCUUCGUGGCUUUCCAUUUUGAACCUUGUGGAAACCGUAGAUUGUUUAUUUUGUACAGGCCCAUGCUUAUUUAGUUUAAGAAUUUAUUGGGGAUUUAUAGUUUGUGUUGUGCAAAGAAAUAGGUUCUAAUUAUAUAAAGGGUUUGUUAUCCAUCCAACUUGAGCUUAUUUGCAGGUUAUUCUAGGAUUGAAUGUGAUAUUUCUUUCUAUUCUCUGGGUCUUUUUCUGAUUCUUGAUUAUAUGCAAUGUGGAAUUUCAGCAUCAUUGCCGGAGGUGUGGGGGCUUGUUUUGCAACAGCUGCACCCAGCAAAGAAUGUUUUUUACGCGGGCAAGGUGAUUCGCCUGUGCACAUUUGUGAGCCUUGAAAAAAGCUAGAAGAAGCAACACGCUUUGAGAGACAUGGGCACAAGACUAGAGCUGGGAGAGGUACCAUCUUGAUUCCUUCUAAGGUUGUUAGUUCAUUUGUUGUUGCGCUGAAAAUUUGUCGGUUCUGUCACCAGUUUUUCUAGUUUUGUGCUUCGGCCACAUGCUUUUUUGCUGAAUUAUGGUAGACAGAUUUUUUUGCACUUGCAUCAUUUUAAUGGCAGACAGAAAAAGAUUGAAUUACUCUACCUUUUGAUGGUACCUUAUGUAUCAAACCUCUUAACUUUCUGUGCAGGCAGUUUGAAGUUGACAUCAAAGCCUGAGGAUGAAGUUCUGAACCAAGGUGAGAGAAGUGAGAAUACUUGAAGCAUUGAACUUGAUCAUCAGAUCAGAGUAAUAGACAUCUUACUGAUCAAACACCCUUGAUUGAUAUAGAGGAAGCAUGAGGUUAACAUAUCAAAAUUUUGUACACCCACGGGAGGAGCUUCGGAAAUGGAAAUCCUGUACAGAUUUGGCUUUCCUUUCAGAUAGAUUGUUGUUUACCCAACGCCACGACACUCAUAAAGCUACGAUUUCAGCCGCAAACUAUCGAACUGACGUAGGCUUGUUUGCUUGUUUGCUUGUAUUUGUUCUUCUUUUUGGCCCCUCCUUUAUGCUUUUGUUCUUUUGUAUCUUUCUAGUUUUUCACCAUACUAGAGCAGGCAAGAGACAUACUUGUAUACGAAUAUGAUCGCUUAAUGAAAAUGUCUAACUUUCGUC
rnacentral:lncRNA from 1 species